rnacentral:rRNA from 1 species
UACGUAGGGGCUAGCGUUAUCCGGAAUUACUGGGCGUAAAGGGUGCGUAGGUGGUUUCUUAAGUCAGAGGUGAAAGGCUACGGCUCAACCGUAGUAAGCCUUUGAAACUGAGAAACUUGAGUGCAGGAGAGGAGAGUAGAAUUCCUAGUGUAGCGGUGAAAUGCGUAGAUAUUAGGAGGAAUACCAGUUGCGAAGGCGGCUCUCUGGACUGUAACUGACACUGAGGCAUGAAAGCGUGGGGAGCAAACAGGAUUAGAUACCCCCGUAGUCCCUGAG